GCCCGGCUAUGGCUGUGCUGCGUAGUAUUGCGUGCUGUGCUCUCAGCGGGCGCCAUCUCGGGCGUCUCCUGCCGCCGCCAUUUUGUGAACUGACAGCAACACUGACUCAAACUCCUCCCUCCUCGAUUUCAGCUGUUGUCACCGAUAGAGAUGAGGGCUCUAACAAUAUGGCAAUUGAAAAUGUGAAUGAUCAUAAUAUGCCUCAAACUAAUAAAUCUUUUGAGAAUGAGGCAAACAAAAGAGAAACCAAGGAAAUGACUAAUUGUAUGGAUGAUCUGAGCCUAAAUUCUCCAGAAGGGAGACUAUCUCGUUCACGGUCUAAGACACAUUCCAGUAAGCGCAGAUCUUCCUCUUCCAGCACCUCAAGUUCUUCUAGUUCAUCAAGAUCUUCACAGUCGAGAAGCUGGAGCAGGUCUCUGUCACGUGAUAGGAAAUAUAGACAUAAAAGAACAAGGAGAAGCUCCAGGUCUUAUUCCCGUGGCCGUUCUAGAUCUCGCUGUACAAACUACUCCGGUUCAAGCCACUGCAGAAGCAGAUCCAGGUCCUACAGCCCAAGGCAGAGGAGAAGAUAUUCAUCUACUUACAGAAGAUAUUACAGAUCUCCUCCUCGGUAUAGGUCACGUAGUAGAUCACGCUCUCGUUCAUAUUACAGAAGUCGCUACUCAAGGAGCAGAUCCCGUUCUCGAGGCCGGCGUUACUAUGGCUUUGUAAGGCGUCCUUAUUCUCCCACUUUCAGGACUUUGAGAAGUCGAUCAAGGACCCGUUCUCGCAGCAGAACACCACUGCGGUUAAGUGAAAAGGAAAAGUUAGAGUUGUUGGAAAUUGCAAAGAUGAAUGCGUCAAAAAUCCUUGGAAAGGAAGUUGAUCUACCAGAAAGCCUGAAGAAGAAUGCAGAGAUUGAGAAUAAUGAAGAAGAGGCCUGUCUCAUUUGCAGAUAAGUUAAUUGUACCAAUAUCUGAUGGUGGUUGCUUGUAUAUAUUUUUCUCCACGAUUUGGUUUUCAACUUAUGGUAGUGCUAGAAGAGUAUUGCUUAUAGUUUGCCUCUUUGGCAAAAAGAGGUUACAUGUGCUUGGUCUCCUAACAAGCGAAAGCCAUUUAACAGUAUGUGUUCAAUGUAAAGUCCUGAUGACUUGAGGCCACGUGCACAGUAUUUCAUUUUAUAAACUAGUAAAUAGUUUUCUCGUUUUGGUUGCAAUUAACCAGUGCAAAAAUGUAUGAAAGUGUUGGAGCUGUUUACAUGCAUUUAAAAAAAAAAAAAAAAAAAAAAUGCUUAUGCUAUAUUGGAAAUUCUACUUUUGGUUGAUAGUGUAGGUGGGGAAUCCAGCUGUAUCUUCUUGUAGUUGGCUUAUAAUUCUGUUAUAAGUGUUAUCUGGAUAUCUUAUAACUCUGUUUCCACUCUAAAUCUGUGGUGGUCGGCUUACUGCAUUAAGUAUAUUUGCUUUGCCAGUAUAUUGAACUGGUAAUGGGAUGUCUGCAUAUUUGUUCAGACAGAGUCUACCUAUUGUGCCAAAUUCCACCUGCUCCCUUUUUCAAGAAUUGGGACUAUAAUUUAAACAGGAGGAUAUAUACAGGGCACAUUAUUGCAGGAAGUGAACAAACUUAAACCACUUUGACAUCAAAGACCCAGGUUUUCAGACACAGUUUGGACCUGGGUUAUUUCUGGGUCGGCCCUAUUUAACUAAACCUGAGUCUGCCCUGCAUGUCACUCAAAUUCUCCCUUAAGACUGAUCUCUGCAUAUACAACCGGUCGGCAGCUGUUAAGCAUAACCUAGGUUGGAUAACCCGACUCGAGCUGUUUACACUGCAUCAUUACCUGGGUCCAACCCUGGUAGCUACCAGGGUCUGAUUCCCAAGUCACUCGACCUGGGUUAUUUUUAAGGAUCCUUUGACACAAAGCUGUCUGGGUAGACCAGAUCAAAAGUUCUGUGUAAAAGGGGUAUUAUAAAGCACUGGAAGGACAAUUGUCCUGAAGCAAGUUACAGAGUGAUCAUUAAUAGAAGCCUUCUGACACUUUUGUCGGCUUGAGCUCCCCAAACAUGUUCAAUGUUCAAGAUCACUGAAUACAUUUGUUACCGCUCAUGCCAAAAAAUGGCUACUUGUGGCUGCUUUUUUUUUCUAGUGAGGGGCAUACGGUGAAUGCAAGUGUGGUACUGUAGUUACAAACUUACCAGGGUAUGUGUGUGUGUGUGUGUGUGUAUAUAUAGAUCUUUCUCGCUAAAUAUUUUCUUGCUUUACAGCUAUCCAGAAGUGAAUCUGAAAAUGCUAAACAGACUAUCUACAAAUCUCACGGUAGCUGUUCUAGUAAAAGUGGUUCAGACACAGACUCUUCAAAGAAGG